UACGGGGGGGGCAAGCGUUGUUCGGAAUUACUGGGCGUAAAGGGCUCGUAGGUGGCCAACUAAGUCAGACGUGAAAUCCCUCGGCUUAACCGGGGAACUGCGUCUGAUACUGGAUGGCUUGAAUCCGGGAGAGGGAUGCGGAAUUCCAGGUGUAGCGGUGAAAUGCGUAGAUAUCUGCAGGAACACCCGUGGCGAAAGCGGCGCGCUGGACCACUACUGACGCUGAGGAACGAAAGCUAGGGGAGCAAACAGG
rnacentral:rRNA from 1 species